rnacentral:rRNA from 1 species
GUAACCUGCCUCAAAGAGGGGGAUAGCCUCCCGAAAGGGAGAUUAAUACCGCAUAACAUUAGUUUUUCGCAUGAAGAACUAAUUAAAGGAGUAAUCCGCUUUGAGAUGGACCCGCGGCGCAUUAGCUAGUUGGUGAGGUAAAGGCUCACCAAGGCGACGAUGCGUAGCCGACCUGAGAGGGUGAUCGGCCACAUUGGAACUGAGACACGGUCCAGACUCCUACGGGAGGCAGCAGUGGGGAAUAUUGCACAAUGGGCGAAAGCCUGAUGCAGCAACGCCGCGUGAGUGAUGAAGGCCUUCGGGUUGUAAAACUCUGUCUUUUGGGACGAUAAUGACGGUACCAAAGGAGGAAGCCACGGCUAACUACGUGCCAGCAGCCGCGGUAAUACGUAGGUGGCAAGCGUUGUCCGGAUUUACUGGGCGUAAAGGAUGCGUAGGCGGAUAUUUAAGUGAGAUGUGAAAUUCCCGGGCUUAACUUGGGAGCUGCAUUUCAAACUGGAAGACUAGAGUGCAGGAGAGGAAAGUGGAAUUCCCAGUGUAGCGGUGAAAUGCGUAGAGAUUGGGAGGAACACCAGUGGCGAAGGCGGCUUUCUGGACUGUAACUGACGCUGAGGCACGAAAGUGUGGGGAGCAAACAGGAUUAGAUACCCUGGUAGUCCA